GUUGGAGAAGCCUCCUUUCCACUUCCCCGGAAACUGGUGACAUUUCAGGGCUUGCCGCUCGCUGGAGGCCCCCCCCCCCCCCACCAAGGAUCUUCUCAGAUACCUUCUCAGAGGACGCGCCACAGAACUGGGGAUCACCCCGACCAGAGCAAGACUCCCUGCCCCCACGGAGCGCCCAGCCUCUGGGCUGCCUUUCUCGGGGAGCCCGCGAGCCCGGGGCUUCCCGGACCCGGAGCGCCGUGCCCAGCUCCUCCGGCGACACGCACCGGCGAAGUUCCCACCUGAGCAGGCAGCCGGAGAUCGCGGGAGAGCCCAAUCACGGGGCGAGCUGGACCGGGCUGUGAUCAUUUAUAAUCCUGGACUCCUCCGCUCCGCCACUUGUCAAGAUGACAGGCCGCGUCGGGUACGGGAAAGCUCCGAGGCUCCCAUGCUGUGACCAAUCAGUGCCUCUACUACUCUUGCCGUGAUUUAGGGGUCAUCCAUGAAUAACACUUCACGCUGAUGAAUGGCUCUUGCAGGCUUUCGGCUCUGAUGAGGGGUCUGCCCGCCGCUGAUUGCAAACACUAAUGAACUCCCAGCGCCGUUUGAAAUUCACACGCACCUACAAAGUGCGGGGGGUGGGCAUUUCAGGUCAGCUGAGUCACCCGAGGAGGUAGGAGUGCAAGACACUGCCGGGAAGAUGGAUUCCGAGGCAGAAGGGUGUAAUUAAGGAUUUCCACUCCCGGUAGGCGGCCCGUCCUUUACAAGAGGAUCUGAAAAUGACCUGCGCCUUCCCCUCCAGAGUGUCCUCUCGUCCCAGACUGAAAAGCGCAAAUGACCUUCGCACGCGGGAAGGGGUUAUACACGAGCCCCAACUCGGCACCGGCGGCGGAGAACAAGUGUCCGCCCUGUGGCUCAAGCACCAAGACCGCCCCAACAAGCGCGCGCUGGCCGGUGGGGACGGAUUCUGGAGUCCUCCCAAGGCUCCACGCCCCGCAUUCUCCGACGCCGCCCCCCUCCCCAGUUCUCCCCUGCUUCCACUCUGUGUGAUGUGGGAGGAAAAUAAAAGUUUACUGCUCUCCAGGA